GCUGGGCAUAUGAUGAAAUCAUAUUUCAUGGGUAAUUUGCGUCUGAAUCUUAUUGAUGCUAUUUUUAUGAGAAACUGAUGCCCAUA